rnacentral:rRNA from 1 species
UGAGGAAUAUUGGGCAAUGGACGGAAGUCUGACCCAGCCAUGCCGCGUGAAGGAUGAAGGCGUUCUGCGUUGUAAACUUCUUUUAUCUGGGAAGAAACCUACGAUUUCUAUUGUAGUUGACGGUACCAGAGGAAUAAGCACCGGCUAACUCCGUGCCAGCAGCCGCGGUAAUACGGAGGGUGCAAGCGUUAUCCGGAUUUACUGGGUUUAAAGGGUGUGUAGGCGGGUCUUUAAGUCUGGGGUGAAAUCUCCGAGCUCAACUCGGAAACUGCCCUGGAUACUAUUGGCCUUGAAUUAUGUUGAGGUUGGCGGAAUAUAACAUGUAGCGGUGAAAUGCAUAGAUAUGUUAUAGAACACCGAUUGCGAAGGCAGCUAACUAAGCAUAUAUUGACGCUGAGGCACGAAAGCGUGGGGAUCAAACAG